rnacentral:ncRNA from 1 species
CAACAGGCUAGACCGAUCAUCGAAAAGCGGAAAUGCCUUGCCGCCUGCCUGUUGAUUUACAUACAUUCAAGGC